rnacentral:siRNA from 1 species
UAAUGGGUUAAUGGUUUUAGU